UGGGGAAUUUUGGACAAUGGGCGAAAGCCUGAUCCAGCAAUGCCGCGUGUGUGAAGAAGGCCUUCGGGUUGUAAAGCACUUUUGUCCGGAAAGAAAUCCUUGGCUCUAAUACAGUCGGGGGAUGACGGUACCGGAGGAAUAAGCACCGGCUAACUACGUGCCAGCAGCCGCGGUAAUACGUAGGGUGCAAGCGUUAAUCGGAAUUACUGGGCGUAAAGCGUGCGCAGGCGGUUUGCUAAGACCGAUGUGAAAUCCCCGGGCUCAACCUGGGAACUGCAUUGGUGACUGGCAGGCUAGAGUAUGGCAGAGGGGGGUAGAAUUCCACGUGUAGCAGUGAAAUGCGUAGAGAUGUGGAGGAAUACCGAUGGCGAAGGCAGCCCCCUGGGCCAAUACUGACGCUCAUGCACGAAAGCGUGGGGAGCAAACAGGAUUAGAUACCCUGGUAGUCCACGCCCUAAACGAUGUCAACUAGUUGUUGGGGAUUCAUUUCCUUAGUAACGUAGCUAACGCGUGAAGUUGACCGCCUGGGGAGUACGGUCGCAAGAUUAAAACUUAAAUGAAUUGACGGGGUCAUAGCUGUUU
rnacentral:rRNA from 1 species